rnacentral:rRNA from 1 species
AGAGUUUGAUCAUGGCUCAGGACGAACGCUGGCGGCGCGCCUAACACAUGCAAGUUGAACGAGAGAGAGGGAGCUUGCUUCCUUGAUCGAGUGGCGAACGGGUGAGUAACGCGUGAGGAACCUGCCUCAAAGAGGGGGACAACAGUUGGAAACGACUGCUAAUACCGCAUAAGCCCACGGCUCGGCAUCGAGCAGAGGGAAAAGGAGCAAUCCGCUUUGAGAUGGCCUCGCGUCCGAUUAGCUAGUUGGUGAGGUAACGGCCCACCAAGGCGACGAUCGGUAGCCGGACUGAGAGGUUGAACGGCCACAUUGGGACUGAGACACGGCCCAGACUCCUACGGGAGGCAGCA